GCUCUUACAUCGAUGAAGAACGUAGCAAAAUGCGAUACUUGGUGUGAAUUGCAGAAUCCCGUGAACCAUCGAGUCUUUGAACGCAAGUUGCGCCCGAAUCCAUUUGGUUGAGGGCACGUCUGCCUGGGUGUCACGU
rnacentral:rRNA from 1 species